UCUGAUGCAUCGCGCAUUGGUGCGCAUGGCCCUAGAUAUGGGCACGUGUCGAAUACAUUUGAAUUUUACCGCCAAAGCGAGGGGAAUGCUUUGAAAAUCGAUCUGGGGAUGAAUGAGAAACUUGAGGGGUUAAAAGCAUAAACAGAUUGGAUUCUAAGGUUACUUUGGAUGAAAUCAAGUAUAAAUAAUUCGAAGAAGUAUGCAAAGCGAAUACGAUUGUUUAUAUUCUUUAAAACUAUAAGGAUAGAACACAGAUAAGGAAAGAAGUCGCAGACUUCUAUGUUCAGUACAUGCUUUAUACAGGUAUUUUAAUAAUAGAAGGCAUAGCUUGAACAAGAC